rnacentral:rRNA from 1 species
ACGGGUGGGAGCAUGUGGUUUAAUUCGAAGCAACGCGCAGAACCUUACCAGCUCUUGACAUUCGGGGUAUGGGCAUUGGAGACGAUGUCCUUCAGUUAGGCUGGCCCCAGAACAGGUGCUGCAUGGCUGUCGUCAGCUCGUGUCGUGAGAUGUUGGGUUAAGUCCCGCAACGAGCGCAACCCUCGCCCUUAGUUGCCAGCAUUUAGUUGGGCACUCUAAGGGGACUGCCGGUGAUAAGCCGAGAGGAAGGUGGGGAUGACGUCAAGUCCUCAUGGCCCUUACGGGCUGGGCUACACACGUGCUACAAUGGUGGUGACAGUGGGCAGCGAGACAGCGAUGUCAAGCUAAUCUCCAAAAGCCAUCUCAGUUCGGAUUGCACUCUGCAACUCGAGUGCAUGAAGUUGGAAUCGCUAGUAAUCGCAGAUCCCAAUGCUGCGGGGAAUACGUUCCCGGGCCUUGUACACACCGCCCGU